rnacentral:misc_RNA from 1 species
GCAAACUUGGUCAUUUAGAGGAAGUAAAAGUCGUAACAAGGUCUCCGUAGGUGAACCUGCGGAGGGAUCAUUAUUGAAUAACAAGUCGGUCGGAUGUGCUGGUGGCAACACAUGUGCACUCCUUCCGCAAAUCCACACACCCCCACUGUGAACAACCUUUGGCCCUCUGUCUCGCGCGUCUCACGACGUGCAGCCGGUGACCACUCGUGGGUCGCCCGGGACUUGGGUCCUUUUACACACUCUUGUAUGUCAUGGAAUGUUUACUUGUGCUUAAUCGCGCAUCUAAAACAACUUUCAACAACGGAUCUCUUGGCUCUCGCAUCGAUGAAGAACGCAGC